ensembl:lncRNA
AGGGAAUAGAGUGUCACUAUGUAGGGAAUAGAGAGUCACUGUGUAGGGAAUAGGGUGUCACUAUGUAGGGAAUAGGGUGGCACUAUGUAGGGAAUAGGGUGUCACUAUGUAGGGAAUAGAGAGUCACUAUGUAGGGAAUAGAGAGUCACUAUGUAGGGAAUAGAGUGUCACUAUGUAGGGAAUAGGGUGUCACUAUUUAGGGAAUAGAGUUUCACUAUGUAGGGAAUAUGGUGUCACUAUAUAGGGAAUAGAGUGUCACUAUGUAGGGAAUAUGGUGUCACUAUAUAGGGAAUAGGGUGUCACUAUGUAGGGAAUAGAGUGUCACUAUGUAGGGAAUAGGGUGUCACUAUGUAGGGUGUCACUAUAUAGGGAAUAUGGUGUCACUAUAUAGGGAAUAGGGUGUCACUAUGUAGGGAAUAUGGUGUCACUAUGUAGGGAAUAGGGUGUCACUAUGUAGGGAAUAGAGUGUCACUAUGUAGGGAAUAUGGUGUCACUAUAUAGGGAAUAGGGUGUCACUAUGUAGGGAAUAGGGUGUCACUAUGUAGGGAAUAGAGUGUCACCAUGUAGGGAAUAGAGUGUCACUAUGUAGGGAAUAGAGAGUCACUGUGUAGGGAAUAGGGUGUCACUAUGUACGGAAUAGAGUGUCACUAUGUAGGGAAUAGAGAGUCACUAUGUAGGGAAUAGAGUCACUAUGUAGGGAAUAGAGAGUCACUAUGUAGGGAAUAGAGAGUCACUAUGUAGGGAAUAGAGAGUCACUAUGUAGGGAAUAGAGAGUCAC